AAUAGACCAAACAACUUUUUUGGGCCUGAGCCGUAUCAGUAGACUGAUACUUCUGAUACUGGGUAUCAGUCGACGUGGCACGUGCUGAUUGGUGCUGCAAACGCGUUUUUGGCUAAAGGCAGAGAAAAAAAAAUUUCUCACCUCUCUCUCCCGAGAAAACCUAGAACUCCUCCUCCUCCGCCGAUUUCGAGUUUCCCUCUCCUCCGCCGAUUCGUCUUCACGAUCUUGCUUUCGGUACCUACUCUUCUCUUCCGGCCGUCUAGGGUUUCUCUCAGAGUGUCAUCAUAAAAAAAACAGAUUCUUGUCUCCGAUCCUCGUCGCUCUCCAGUCAUCUGAAGAUUCUUCGAGCUUCUCUUGACCACACACUUUCAAUGGCGAAAGCAGUGACCGCUCCAACUCCGUCUCUCUCCGAGGUUACAUUAAAGGAUUGUGGUACCGGCUCCUGUUUCAUCAUACAGUUCUGGGUUUCAGGCGCCUUUUCUUCCGCAAAAGAAUCAAGGCAAGAAGAAGUUUCCACAGAUUGGUCAUGUUUAUGAGAUUCUUGUUAUAGGUGCUCUUUCUCAUACUGGUUUGGAGUCAUCGAAUUUGAUUGUUGGUAUUGAUGUCACUAAGAGCAAUGGUUGCUUCUGUCACAAGGCCAACUUCUUUUGCACCCAUUAUUGAAAGGACGAUGACAAUUGUGGAAGAAAGUGGAGGGCAAUACCAUGUUCUUCUCAUAAUUGUUGAUGGACAGCUGUGGAGUCACUCAAGGAUGGUGAGAAUUGUCAGAUCCUGAAACGAUGAGAAGCUGCAAAGGUGAAAGGUAAAACUUAUCAGUUUCCAGUUUCUGUGUGUUAAAGCUGCAUCCGAUCUGAAUAGAGAUUAGGAACAAUGAAUUGAAACUUAAAUGAAUUCAAUUGAUUUGAAUUGAUAUUUUGAACAAUUGAAUUGACUAGAAACUGAUAAGUUGAAUUUAAUAGUGAUUAGGUAGAUAUUGUUGAGAGUGAAUUUAAUGUCAUCUGUAUAAGAAUAUUUUCUCUGUGUAUAGAGUCUUUUUAAUGAUCUAGAUAUUGUUGGUGAUGAGGUUGUAUUAAAUGCAAGUCUGAACUUAAAAUUAAAGGGAAUUAAAAUGAUGAUGAGACAUUAGCUUUUUUAACUGAAGUUAUGAGAUGGGAAGUGUCUCAGUGAGUUGAAUUAGUAAACCAAACACUUAAACUGAACUAUAAUGACUCGUAUUCAAUACAAAUUUGGUUGAUCUUGUCAUGAGUGUUUGUCUUUAUAAUAAGUUUCUGAGAACUUAAACAAACCAUUAAACUGAACUAAAACACAAAAUGGCUUCCAACUUGAACUUUUCCUCCUCUCAAUCCUUUACCAAUCUCUUGUUUAGCCAAGAAGAAAACCCAACCCCUCUCAGUCCUUCACAGCCUCCUCCUCUCAGUCCUUCACAACCUCUUUGUUCUGAAUCCCAAACACCCACAGCAGUAGCUAGGGAACCUAGAGUGAGAUGGAGUGUUCCUGAAGAGAAGGCACUUGCAAGUGCCUGGCUCAACACAUCCAAAGACUCUGUUGUAGGGAAUGAGCAGAGAUCUGCUGCCUUUUGGGAUAGGGUUGCAGUAUAUUAUGCUGCAUGUCCUGCUGUCUCUAAGCUCACCAUCCGAGAGGCCAACACUUGCAAGCAGAAAUGGCAAAAAAUGAAUGAGCUUGUCAUGAAGUUUGCAGGCUGUUAUGAGUUUGCCUCUCGGACUCCUCGCAGUGGAGAGACUGAAGAUGACGUUCUUGUGCUUGCCUACAAGCUGUACCACCAGGAUCAAAAAACCAAGUUCAGUCUUGAGCAUGUAUGGAGAAUCCUCAAGACUGAUCAGAAAUGGUGCAAUUGGUGUGAGA